rnacentral:tRNA from 1 species
GCGAGGAUGUCGGAGUCUGGUUGAACGGGACGGACUUAAGAUCCGUUGCUAUUAGAGCUUAAAACACGAGGGUUCAAAUCCCUCUCCUCGCA